UAGAUAGAUAUGGAAAAUGAAGAAAUUGUUAUUAUUUUCAUGAAUAUGUAAAAAUAUUUUAAUUUGUUUUUGUGCCCUUGUCAUAUCGUGUUCAUUUUUUUUGGAAUAAAUUGUCAUGUGGGCAUGUCCGUGUUGUGCCGUGUCCAUGUCUAAUUCCCAUAUCUGGCUUCUUUGUCUGUUAGUGUAGUUCAACAGACCCUGCAACCUGUAUUCUUUUAAAUUUUGAAAUUGGGGCCUUUCAUGAGAGGCUUUAUUCUCAUGCAUUUUUUUAAACUCCGGAUCCAAUCCUCACUCAAACACAUCCUAAUUUGUUGAAAUUUGAACAGGCCCACUACAAAACCCAAUUAGAUCCUACCGUAGAAGAAGUGAAGAAACUUUGUACUACAUGUCGUAAAUAUGCCAAGUGGAAGAGCUCUGAUAAAUGUACCUUGAUUUUGACAGAAGGUGUUUCAGCGAAGGCAUUUGCGUAAUGUGGCAUCUGGGAAUGAAUUCCACAAGGAAGCAGUCAUGGACCAACUUUUCCCACAAAUAGGUGACAACAUCCAAUCAAUUAUGAUUAAGCUUUUGCAGAGUAAUGACAGCAGGUUACGCACAGCUUGUGUCUGGACUGUCGUAAAUCUCACCUUUCCAAGUAGUCCCGGUGCACACAGUCGGGUUGCAAAAUUACAGAAUGCCUGCAUAACUUCUCAAUUAAAGGAUAUGGUCAAUGAUCCUUGCCGCGAUGUAAAGAGGCAAAUGUCAGUGGUGCAGAUCGAGCACAGUGAGACGAUGGAGCGAGGGAAGCCGAAGCUGGGUGGCCUCAGCGACCCUCGGUUGGGUACUAUUGACCGAAAAAUGAAGUGUGAGACCU